AUUGAACGCUGGCGGCAUGCUUUACACAUGCAAGUCGAACGGUAACAGGGAAAAGCUUGCUUUUCUGCUGACGAGUGGCGAACGGGUGAGUAAUACAUCGGAACAUACCUUGUAGUGGGGGAUAACUACCCGAAAGAGUAGCUAAUACCGCAUACAACCUGAGGGUAAAAGUGGGGGACCGCAAGGCCUCACGCUAUAAGAGUGGCCGAUGGAAGAUUAGCUAGUUGGUAGGGUAAAGGCCUACCAAGGCGACGAUCUUUAGCGGGUCUGAGAGGACGAUCCGCCACACUGGGACUGAGACACGGCCCAGACUCCUACGGGAGGCAGCAGUGGGGAAUUUUGGACAAUGGGGGGCAACCCUGAUCCAGCCAUGCCGCGUGAGUGAAGAAGGCCUUCGGGUUGUAAAGCUCUUUCGGUCGGGAAGAAAUCGCAUGGGUUAAUACCCUGUGCGGAUGACGGUACCGGCAUAAGAAGCACCAGCUAACUACGUGCCAGCCGCCGCAGUAAGAC
rnacentral:rRNA from 1 species